rnacentral:tRNA from 1 species
GCUUGGCUGGCUUGGUCGGUAAAGCAUGUGACUCUUGAUCUUGGGAUCAGGAGUUUGAGCUCCAUGCUGAGUA